UUCUGCUCCUGCCUCCAAACCCUAGUGAAACUUCAUCUUUAUCUGCAAUAAUCGACAGCCAAGAAACAUCACAGAAAGCUCUCAAUCAUCUUCAGUCAUCGAAUUUUCUUCUCGUGUUUCAUUUCUUUUCUCUCUCUUUUAUCAUCAUUUUUUUGAUUUUAGGGUUUUUCAUCGUCUGUUAAUCUAGUUUAGGAUUUUGAUUUCAUAGAUCUGUACAAGUCUUUCAUCAUCUGUAUGGUUUUAGUUUUUUCGAUUUGUCAUGUAUGUUGAUUUGAAGAUGAUUUGGUAUCAUUAAAGGAAGAAGAAGAUAAUUCAUCGAUCCAAUUAGGUUUUUUACACCAUACAAACCGAGAGAAAAAGGCUUCAAUAAAAAUCAUGGAUCGUCAAAAUUGGAGCUGUAGAAGCUUCAGGGGGAGGUGGUUCUGUAGGGGGUUGAGUAGAUUCUGAAGCAGAGGCUAUGAAGAUGAAUCUGACGAAUCAAAAUCAGAAAAGUAAAUGAUUAAGAUGAUGAAGAAGAUGAGAUUAGUGGAGAGGUUUGUUCUUUGAAACCUUUAAGAGUAAUAUUUCAUUAUUCCUUUGAAGUCAUCUAGAAUUAUUAACAUUUGUUCUCUAGAUGUCCUUCUUAAGUUUGGGGCUUAUACAACAGUGAGAGUAAUGGCGCGUAAGGAUUUUAUUCUCUUCUUUUGAUCUGGCAUCAGUUCUGUAGCUAUGACAUAUAUGUUUAUGUGAUGGCUCUUUAGGAGAGGAAUGACCAGAACUCUAAUUCAUUCGGUUCUCGGAUUUAUAUUGCUGUUUUGAAUGUUCAUGCUACUUUGCGAGUAUUUAUUCCGCUGCUUCUUAAGUAUCCGGCUUCUCUCACUUUGUCAAAAAGGACUAAUCAGUCCUCCUUUCAGUUCUCCAAGAGGAUUUAUGAGAAGCGAUAUUUGUGCGUCAUGGACUGUUCGAGAGGAUGAGUAACUAUUUGAGCGUGUUCUUGAUGCUCUUUUGCCCUCAGUUCUUUGAGGUACUUGUGCCAUUCCUGGAGCAUUUGGUUGUGGAAAGACAGUCAUCAGUCAAGCUCGUUCUAAGUACUCUAAUUCAGAGACUGGUUUACGUGGGUUGUGGAGAAAGAGGAAAUGAGAUGGCUGAUGUGUGUAUACUUUUGUACUUCCAAAUAUACUCAAGUUUGUUAUUCAAGUUCUAAUGUAACAUUUUUAUUACUUAAGAAUUCAGGUUGUUAUGGAUUUCCCUCAUCUGAUCAUGACAUUAGCUGAUGGCCAACUCUUGUAGCUAACACAUCUAACUUUCCUGUGGUUGCUCAAGAGUCCUCUAUUUAUACAGGAAUCACAGUUGCUGAAUACUUCCGAGAUAUGGGUUCUUACAAAGUUAUUAUGAUGGAUGAUCUUACAUCUCGAUGGGUAGAGGCUUUACAUUAAAUUUCAAGUCCGAUAAUCACAUCACUUGGUUAUAUGUGUUAAACUUGCGACCUAUUAUUCAUCAUAUUCAUAUUCUUCUGAUCCUUUCGCUAUUUUUAGAAUUAUUGUACUUCAGUUUUACAUGUUUAUGAAUUUGAUAUUCAACUCUGCUUCAUCAGACCCUUCCGUCCUUUUUUGUUUUCUGUUUGCUAUUUUUGAUGUUGAUUCUCAUAACUGCUAAAUAUCUGGGUUUAUUAGGGUUGAAAUUUACAUGGUGCCCUGAUGCAUUUCAAAAUGAUGUACCGAUCGUUGAACAAAAUAUUAUAUGCAAUCUCAUAAUAGUCAAUCUCAACCUCUUGAACUCUAAAAUCUCAACAGUCUUUGCUUUUUUAUUCGUUUCUCCUGCAACCCUUUUCUUCUUUGCUUAGAGACUUAACAUAUGUUAUGUUUUAUGUCAAGAAGACUCCCCUGAUGAAGCUCUUCGGAUGUAUGAUGAUGCUUGCCCCAUCCUUGAAGAACAUGAAAAGGAGAAAAUCGCAUUUGAUCUAUAUCGUGUUGUUUCCAGUGUUUAUAUACAAUGAAGUACUGCGUAGCUGCUUAUUUCUUGGAAGAGAGAGCUCCUGCAAGAGAAGUGUCCAUGGAUUGAAGAUGCGUAGCUGCUGCCUCUUUGGAUUCCAUUCGCUUCAUUGAUUCUGCUUCAAAUGCAGCAGUCUGCGGCAUGAGAAGCCUGUUAUAUGAGUCAUGUUUCUGUGCAUGUUAGUCUGCGACAUGAGAAAAUUUAGAAAUAGGUUAGGAACCUAGGAAGUUUUUUAAGUUUUUGUGAACUGCAUUUUGGAACUUGGUGAGUUUCUAUAUAUUCCCCUUAGAAAUUUGAUACUUGACAAAAAAAAAAUUGGUACUUAGAAAAAUUUCAGUUCUUUUUUGAUAUGAGUUGAUUGAAGAUAUUAUUAUUGAACAUGAAUGACGAAGGAUUGAAAGGUGUA